AUUUGAUUUGCUCAACAUUUUACAAUUGUCUUUGAACAGAAGCCAUACAACUGAGAUGGGUACAACUCAUUCAGGUUCCCUGGCCUGGAUAUUGAAAGAUUAAGUUUUAGAGGCUCCACCAAGCUGAAUUAUGCAUUAUGAAACCUGGGAGUGAGUGGCAGGGCAGGUCCUCCUCCUCCAAGGUAGUAUUGGGAAGUCCACAGGGUAGAAUCAAGGGUUGAGAUCUAAGAGUUUGCACAACAGAGCUCUCAGCCUGUUGUCAUGGCAGCAAGGAGAGAGCCGCAGCAAUAAGCUGGAACAAAUAUGAGGCUUUCUCCUGCCUCUACACUGGAUCUUAUAGGCCUCCCUGUUUAACCAGGCCCCCUGAAUCUAAAUAUCAAGAUCUUCUGGCAGGUGUAAAUUAUUCUGUUAUCAGCCUACAGACACCCCACGGUAUCUGCCUUUCUCACCUGGCUUGGCCUAGGAAUGGUUUUCUUUCUUUUUUUCCUUUUUUUUUUUUUUAAAAGCUUUUAUUUAUUUAUUUGUCAGAGAGCAAGAAAGAGAGAACACAAGCAGGGAAAGCACCAGGCAGAGGAAGAAGGCUCCCCGCUGAGCAAGGAACCUGAUGCAGGACUCAAUCCCAGGGCCCUGGGAUCAUGACGUGAGCCGAAGACAGACGCUUAACCAACUGAGCCACCAGCAUCCCUAGGAACGGUUUUCUAGCAUUCCUUCCCCACCUCUACACUAACACUAGUGGAACUACCACUGCCAUUGUGAGAGAACAAUGGGCUCGUGGUGGAGGGCAUUAUUCCUCAAACUAGAGACUCCCCUCCACUCCACUCCCCCUUUUAUUUUGUUUCCCCAUACCAUCAUUUGAUUCAUAAAAAUAAAGUGUUCACCAAGAGGAAAUGGUUCUAGAUCACACAGCAGGUCAACCACAUCCCGAAACAUCUUUGUAAAGUACCAACUUCCAGAAGCAAUUUAUAGAUGCACAACUCUGAAGCAAACUCAAGAUUAAGGCAGGAAGAGAGAAAGAAAGAGAAGAAGAAAGAAAUGGGUUCAAACUUAAGCAAGUCUGACCUACUAGCCUGGCAAAUAGAAAUACAGGCCCAUGUGCAUAUCUUGAAUAACCAAGAGGGACCACAAUAUACACACUGUCCUGGACCUUGAUUUUUUUCAUUUAAUAAUAUACCUUGGAGAUCUUUCCAUAGGAAAAUAGGUAGGUGUCUUUCCUUCUUUGUAAUGGUUGCACGGGAUUCCACAAGAUAUGAAAGU
rnacentral:lncRNA from 1 species